rnacentral:rRNA from 1 species
CUUUCCUACGGGGCGCAGCAGUGAGGAAUAUUGGUCAAUGGGAGAGAUCCUGAACCAGCCAAGCCGCGUGAGGGAAGACGGCCCUAUGGGUUGUAAACCUCUUUUGUCGGAGAACAAAACCCGGGACGAGUCCCGGACUGCGUGUAUCCGAAGAAAAAGCAUCGGCUAACUCCGUGCCAGCAGCCGCGGUAAUACGUAGGUGGCAAGCGUUAUCCGGAUUUACUGGGUGUAAAGGGCGUGUAGGCGGGAGAGCAAGUCAGGCGUGAAAUUCCAGGGCUCAACCCUGGAACUGCGUUUGAAACUGG